ACUUAAUCUGAUAUUUGUUGUGCUCAGAGCAACCAUCUGCAUGCAUCAUGAACAUUUUGAAAGGAAAUCAUGUUUUGGAGGCAAAAAAAAGUUCAAUGUUUUCAUUUCUGUCAGGUGUUCUAAUAAUUUUGGCCACCACUGUAUAUGGAUAUUUAUUUAUCUGGAUAUUUUUGUACUCCCGUCUAAAUAAAUGUAUCUGUCCACACGUGUUAGUUCAAAAAAAUAUCUGCGUCCACACGUAGCCUUCAAACUCAAUCCUAUCUGGUGCCGCUUAAAAAAAAUUCAGGAACAAAGCUACCUGAUUGGCCGAUGAAUCGUAACAGCGUCAUGUGUCAUGCAUUGUUUGCGGAAGCUACGCUAGUGCGUCGGGUCCAUUUGACGGUGUGGCGGCUAUAACAAACUUAGAAAGAAAGAGACAUGGCAGGGAAGAACGCAAGUAAAGAGAAAAAUUCCUUCGUCUGGACAGAUGAUGAAGUCGAACUUCUCCUUAAUGUUACAUUAAACUACAAGACCACUAAAAGCCCAGGAAAGCGUAGACUGGGAGUCUGUGUACACGAAGUACAUGGACAUAACCGAUGAGUUUUUGGAACAAUAUCCUGAGAAGAAGGAAGCUGAGAAAGUGGGUAAAGAUUUUCCCCAUCCGAAGGAGUCACUGAGCAAGGCCAUACUGCUUAGCAAAGUGAAGAAUAUAAAAGGCAACUAUCGCAAAGCUGUUGAUUCUGGACGUAGAAGUGGACACGGCCGAGUAGUGAUGAUAUUUUUCGAGCUUUGUGAACAGAUCUGGGGGGGCUCUCCAGCAACCGUAGCCUUAUCUAGUGGCAUCGAGUCAACGGACAUGAUAGAGGAGACCGACUCGUCACUUGACGUUACUAGUGUGGACCAAGAGCCAGAGGAUCCCGACGGUAGUGGCGAGUCAUCUGAGAGUGUGUCUCCUGCUGCAGAGUUGGACCCAUCCACCUCGGUUGUGAAGGAAAGAAGGCAGUUACUUCAGGUAAACAUUGUUUUUACGGUCUCAAACCUUGUUUAAAUUGAUGCACAAUGUAUUGGGGUGUUGUCAUAAGCUAAGCUAGUGGCUGUUUAGAACUUCAGAGCUACUAGGCUAAUUCAUGUUGUAGUGUACCUAUUGCUCAGAAUAGAUGGGUUACUAUGUGUUGCCAUAUAGUACUUGAGCCAAGAACCAAAAUUUCACAUAUCGGUACCACCUGGGUGGGCAAAUUCUAGUUGUGAUUUUUUUAUUGCUAAACAUGCCUACAAUAAGUUUUUAUAUGAUAGACCUUGGUAACUGGUAGCUUUAUUGUAGUUAUCACUCAUUGAAGUAAUAGAGUGCAGCUGUUAAAAAACGAAAAAUCGCCUUCCUUCAAAAUUAGCUUUCUUUCAUUUUAACCUCUCAUUUAGGUGUGUUUGAACUAUUGGCUAGCCAUAGAGACUUGUAAUAACCCCCUAAGUAGUAUUUCAAGUAAUUUAUCUAAUACAGGUGUGUAUAUAUAAGCUUCAAUUAGCCAAUUGUCAGGUCUAAAUCAAGGUCUAAAUUGAGGAUAUUUUUGACAUAGAAGUAGAAGUAAAAUAAAUGCAGACUAAUAGCAUUAUAAUAACACAACUUUAAUAUAACACUGACAUAUUUUAAAUGCAGGCACUCAAUAUACAAUCAUCCUGGCUGGUGCAGGGCAAGAAGACAUUAGCAACAAAAUAAGAUCUACUGAUGUAUACACUCUAUACAAUCAUCUGAGAAAAACUCAAAUUCCUAUUCAAAGUCCUAUUCUUUCCAUAAGGAACAGUGACAGCAAAUAUGUCAAGUUUUGGCUUAGUACAUAAUACUGUCACUGAGUCACAGUGGGUCUGUUAACAUAGCUCCCUUUGGUCAUCAUUUAUUAAUCAACAUCAGUAAUCGACAUAAGUAUCUGUAUCUUAUUCUACAUCUGAGUCUGCCGGGUGUGCAAGGGGCUCUUCCUCACUGUAUUGGUUGGCACAAGUUUGUAAUUUGCACGGGUUUGUGCACUUCAGCCCAUUGCUGAGACAGGUGCAGUCUGGUGGUUUGCAUGUCCUCACACAUUUGCAGGAUAGCAACUGCAAGACCGCAUCUGGUGCAUUAAUAGGCAAUCUUGACAUGGUGUAAGCUGGCUGGACUCAACUUUAGCCAAGGUCCUGCAUGAAGGUGGUGAUAGUGAAAGGAUUGAUGUUGUCUUUGACGUUUACAAGGACAUGUCAAUCAAAAAUUCAGAAAGACUAAACAGAGGUGCAGACAUGGGGAUCCAGUUCAGAAACAUUGUUUCUGGCCACAAUAUUCAGCAGUGGAGGAAACUUCUCUUCAGCCCUGCCAACAAAGCCAGUCUCAUCAAGUUCUUGGUGGAGGAAUGGAGUUUUUCUCAGAUGAUUGUAUACACUGUGUGCACAAUUAUUAGGCAAGUUGUAUUUUUGAGGAUACAUUUUAUUUUUGAACAACUACAGUGCUCUCAGUCAAUCCAAAAUGUUAAUAAACCUCAAACUUUAAUAUUUAAGGGAGUAAAAGUGAGAUUUUGGCUUCCUUAGGAGAAUAUCUAUGUGUGCACAAUUAUUGGGGGCAGCUAUUAGUGUUUAGAAUUAUUAUGCAACUAAAUUAAAAAUGAAAAAUUUUCCAUCUCACUUGUUUAUUUUCACUUGUUAAAGUGAGAAUGAUAAACAAACAACUCAAUUUACAAAUAAAAAUUGUUCAAAUUAAAAAAAAAAAAAUCAGUGACCAAUGUAACUACCCUUCUUUUCAAUAACAGUCAUAAGCUUUCCAUUCAUGGAGUCUUUCGGUUUCUUGAUCUGUUGACAAUCAACUUUUUGUGUUGCAGCAACCAAAGCCUCCCAGACACUGUUCCAGACCCUGUUCAGAGAGGUGUACUGUCUUCCUUCACUGUAAAUUUCCAGUUUAAGAAGGGCCCACAAGUUCUCAACAGGGUUUAGGUCAGGUGAAGAAGGAGGCCAUGUCAUUAUUCUUUCGUUUUUAAGGCCUUUACUGUCGAGCCACAUAGUGGAGUACUUUGUUGCAUGCAAUGGAGCAUUGUCCUGCAUAAAUAUCAUGGUUUUCUUGAAAGAUGCAGACUUUUGCCUGUACCACUGCUUGAAGAAAGUGUCUUCUCAAAACUGGCAGUAGGUUUGGUGUCACAGGACAGUUGGGACUGAUUUUAUUGAUUGUUUAGUGUGUAUAUUUUAGAGUUUUAUCAUUGCAUGUUUUUAUUCUCUUGUGUUUUUAGUUGUGUUUUAAAUUUCCCACUGCCUGUGAACGCACCACUUGAGCAAAUGCACUGCACCUGUUCUCCCGUUCUCCCCACAGACCCAAUCACGGCGGAGGAGGAGGUUCCCGACCGGAAAAAGGAAAGGGUCAAAAGACAGUGGAGCCACGAUGACGGGAAACGGAGCUUGGUAGGAGAAGGCAGCAGACGCCACAGAAGACCGGGAACUUCGAGCGGGGGAGAAGACGACAGAAAACCCAGAACGCUACAAUACGUCACACUCGCAGCGGCAGGGCUUCAACGCUCUGCCUGGUGUGUAAGUACCCUUCGGGAUAAUUAGUAGUGUUCUGGUGUGGCAUCUCAAGGAGAGUGUCGAUUUUGUGGGACAAACAUACUGGCAUUAAUUUCGUGUGUUCCAGGUGGCCUCCAUGUCGGAAGGAACAGGCACUGGAAAAAGACACUAGCUACAAGUCCCUCCUCCAACCCUGUGCACCACUUUGGGUCUGGCUGAAUCCCUCUUUUUAAAACAGAGACUUCUCGUUUUUAUAAACAAUAUUCCUGUUGGCUUUUUAACCUCUGUUGCCCCAAUUUAAACCAUUUUAUCAGGUUUUUACCAGUUGGUCUUACUGUCGUUUUAAGAAUAAGCUCUGUCAAAAAGCUCUGUCAAAAUAAAACCUUUGUACAUGCACUGGCAUCUCCGCCCUCUGUUUUUAAACUUGUCACCGUCAGUCUUCUCACCCGAUUAACAGAAUCUGCAACUUAUCCAUAAUUAUUUACCAAUCACCAUUUUUCACAUCCCACUCCUUACA